AGUGAAAUUGCUGGAGCAAAUGGUAACUAAGUUUCUGAGAGACUGUUGUACUAUUUUCCAUGGGUACUGUACCAUUUUACAUUUCCACCAGCAUU
rnacentral:pre_miRNA from 1 species